CGUGAUGGAAUUUUAUUCCUUGUUACUUCUACUGUCUGCGUUGCAUUACUGGGAGAUGACAGACAGAUCCAGUCUUCGCUCAUAUUCUGGACAAACAUGUGAAAAAUGAAGUUUUUUCUGCAUGAAGUUGCUAAAAAAUACUAACAUUGGGAUUUCCUUCUGCCAGCACAUCAAGGGAUGAACCCCACUGAAAGAUCAGGAGUGAUUAUGGAGUGGGAUAGAGCUUGUCCCUGAAAGGCCUAAGUAUGUCUACCGAGCAUCCGAGGUCUCUCCCCAGUUGUCUGAAGUUAGACACCAACCUAUGUGGCAGGAUCAGGACCCUGGGCAAGGAAGAUAAAUAUAAGACAUUAAAAGAGAGGAAAUGUCUAUGGAUAAUAUUUGUAAGUCCUCAAGAAUGUGCUACAUCUGCAGAAAUCCAGUGGUUCGCUCUUUCCCAUCCCCUCUUUUGUUGUGGUCACAUCCUCUCAACUAUAUUGAAUUUGGAGGCUUGGCUGCACUUGACCACGAUAUAUGGCAAGUUUAGAGGCAGCAGAAAAAAGAACCCCUAAAAAGACUUUUGAGGACUGGAGAGAAAUAAAGGAAUCUCUAAUACAAGAAGUAAACAUUCAGGGAGGAUAAAUGAUGUCAUCAGAUCAUGAAUGAAGUAAGAUAGGCUCAGCUGCAAUGACUGAAGGCUCUCUGGAAAGAGGGAAGAUGAAGCCAGAGAUACACGAUUGGGAAAGAUUUCAACUGGUGUGACUUCAAAGAAAGGAGAAAAUGAGAUGCUCCGUUAGAAAACACCAUCCGGAAGUGACAGAUUAAGCUAUUUGAAAUGAAGGCAAUUGUGAAUGAUUUGGGGGAUAUUUUAUUUCAUGCGUAAAUUGGAUCAUUGGCUGAAAAAUAAUCACUUGGUCCAUCAAAGAUAUAACCCAGAAAUGAGGUGGAGAUAGAAGUUAACAGAGGAUGAGUAACAGAGCCUGAGCAGGACAAGAGAUGAAGAAGAGCUGCAGUAGCAAGAGGACUUCUGUUUAAAAUUGAAGAAAGGGAGAACUGAAGAAAGCAAGCCUUGGAUUGCAUCCACUCAGCCCCGGAAGACAGAGGGGUCUACUCGUCUUGUACAAAAGCUACUGGCAGCCCAGCGCUCCGUGGGGCCUGACACGCACAUCGGGACUGAUAAGACGUGUAAUGUCUGGCAGGAGUCGGGCAGAGUCUGACAGUUGCUCAGGUGCCGCGCGACGACGGGGCCACCUGAACUCCCCAGCCCUCGGGUGGCCGAGGCGGUAGUCCCUCCUCGGGGAAGGGUUCAGCUCUCAGGCCGGUGCCUGCCUGAGGUGCUGACGUGAGGUGCCUCUGCACCCUGGCUCUUUGUUCAUCAUGCUGAGGUGCCUGCGCUCGCCGGGGGUUAGAGUCUGGCUCUGCUGCCAGGACGGUUUUGAACUGUGCCCUCUGACUGUUUCUGUAUUUCUAUCUUUAUAUUGCAGUUCUGUCACUGUCACUGAAACUGUGGUCUGAUGGGAGUAAAGACAUAAGAGAACACAGCUUGAUGGGUACAUGGAGGUCAAAAUCCUGCAGUCAGCUCUGCCAGUGCGUGGCGAGCAGCUGCACUAAGCCCUUGGCAGGGCUGAGGAUAUAGGGGGUUUUUUGCUAAGCUCAAAGGAUUUCUCUCUAGAGCCAUUAAUGUUUCGACUUCUCUGUGCAGGAUCCAAGAGCAAGCCGUUUUCAUGUGGAUUAAUGCGGUUUUCGCUAUUAGAAAAAAUGGCAAAACUUGCCCGGCACCAUGACUGGGCUUUCCAGCCCUGGUCCGGUUCUUACUCGAUGUCGCUAGUAGUCACAGCUUGCACGGGUGAAUUUUAUUGCACCAAAAAUUCUAAAUCUUUCCUUUAGACUUACUGCCUCAUAAUGAGGGUUAUUCUAAUUACUAUGAUAUAUCAUUUCUACUUUGCUUUAUCUGUGGACUCUGUCACAUUCUCUAUGAUCCCCAUAUGAAUUAAAUAUCCCCAAUCUUGUUUUUCUUUUCAGCAGUUCAGUAUACGAAAGGCUGAGUAUCUGUUAAUUGGGGCACUUGUUCUCUAGAGAUUUUGCUGGUUUUGCUCAAUAUGAAAGAUGAUGACAAUUAAGUUACCUUGGAGAUACGGGAAACAUUUCAGUGUAUGUUAGCUCAUGAUGACUUAAAAAAAACCAAAAAAGUUUAUAGUUAUAUAAUUAUUUUAUCAGUUGGGCGGGGCGAAGUUUCAGCGCUUAGACUUCUGGCUUUUCAGUGAUGCCAGUGGAAACUAGGUGUUCAAAUCCCGCCAAAGGCUAACUCCCUCGGUACUAGCCCAGUCGAUAACACCUGCCGUAACCCCAAGGCAGGCUAUAAUCCCUGGUUUAUGGCUACUUGGAACGUGUCUUACAGCACUGUUGCUUUACUGCAGCUGAUCAAAUAGCACAAAGAAGGAGACACAGCUGAUGUGAUUCUUCAUUUAUUUAUUUGUGUACGGAGGGGCACUACUUGAUUUGCUGUCAUUUCCAAGUGCAGGCUAGACUGGUGAUCUUACCACUGUUCCCAGUGGAUCGGUUACAGCUAGGGUGAAGUUGGCAAGAUAACUGGAACGGCAAAAUUAGCCCAGUAUAAAAUUUGUUCCCAAGUGGCUGCUGGUGUGACGCAAGAUUCAGGUGUGAGUGACGAUUUAUAAAAGCUAAAAUUUAAAAACCUGUUAGUGACAUGAAGAUUUUAUCCAGUCCUUAAGCACUGUCUACUCAUGUUUCAUUAUUCCCGUUAAAAAUGAUGUGGUCAGUUUGAAAAGACAACAUGGUGAGAGUUUUGUUUUGUGUUCUGCUUUAAACAGACCACAAAAAGCUGUUUAUGAACAUCCCCCUUCCCAGACCAAUUACUCCAGUAUUGUAACUGUAUUACAGAACACUGUUUGCAAGCAAUCCCUUACCUAAAGGUGUCCAGCUGUAUCUCAUAUUCCAAUUUUUCAGCAUGCCUUGCAGUAAACAAAUAGUGUAGAUGCUUUUGCUUGUCUUGUUUUGGACGGUUAGGCAUCAAAAGUACAUCCAGCCACAGCGAUGAUGGUGAGUAUCCCACAAUUGCAUGUGGAAACAGUAAGUUUCAAAAUGAGUCAUAAAACAUACUGUCAUAUAAUGUCGAUUCGCACUGGACUAGAGUAACUUACUUGCUGCUGUAACCACAGGAGCAGCGAAGGUCAUCAAGCACUGGGAGGUGGAUGAGUAGAGUCCGGCCAGAGGCGUGGCGGUGGAGGAAGAGCAUCCCAAUAGUUUUACAGCAGGAGCAAUGACCCUUGCUUUGUUUCUGCAGGAAACGUGCAUCAUUUUUUGAGCCAGAGCCGACAAUCUUAUUCAGCUAGGGGCCUGUCCAGAUGGGCUGCGCAGCAAGGCGGGCACCUGCAUAGCAUGCCACAGCCUGGCCUUUCCCCUGCAGCACGACCUCAGUUCUGUUAA